AUUUUAGCCACUAUUGCAAAAAUCCUGUUAGCUUUGUUCAUUUUCCUUAAGCUCAGAGUCCCUUGACAAAGAUGAUACUGAAGAUGGGUUCGAUGAUAAGCAACUCUCUCGGAUAUAUGGCGCUUGAUGGAAGCAAUGAGGAGGUAGCUGAAAAGUUAUUAUUACGCAUGAAGAAUGGUUGGAUGAAGAAUAUAUCAAUGAUGUAGAAAAGGAAAACCACUAAGCUUCUCACCUGACAUCCAAAUGAAAACAAGGAGGUCUAGUAUAUACAUGGCUUGCUGGGAUGAUGAGAGAAGCAUGGUCGUCGUACUUCGAUUGUGUAGAAUCUUGAAGACUAUGAAAAUUUCUCAUUUGUAUAUACAUGGAACUGAUUUACAAGUAAGGACUAGUCGGCACUUAGAACUGACAGCAAGUUGUGUUCAGUUUUCAGGGAUAUUGGCUCUAGCUAACCGGGAUUGGUAAGACAACUCUUUUUGGACUAGUUUAUGACAGACUUUCCAUAAUAUUUUGAUGCUAGCUGCUUUCGUGCAAUUUUAUUAGAGGUUUCUGAAAAGUAUAGUUGGGUUUAUCUGCAAAACCUGCUUAUUUUCCAAAUUUUGAAGAACUUUGUAGAAGGAUAAGAUUUUUAUUGUGGAGGCUAGAGCCAGUUAGUUUACGCAUUGUUUACAAGAUAAAAAGGUUCUUCUUAUUCUUGAUGAUGUCAAUGAAAUAGAUCAAUUAGAAACAGUAUUGGGUAUGGAACACAUGUUUGGUUCAGGUCAUCAUUACAACUAGAAAUGAACAGCUGCUAUUAUCAAUGGAACAGUUGUACUGCAUAUGCUGGUGGCACAGGAAUCUAUGAAAGCACAACGAUUCCUUACUCGGAAAGCCUUUAAGAAAGAUGAACCUGAAGCAGAUUAUGUGGAAUCGACCUGCUGUUCGAUCAAACAUGAUGGCCUCCACACAUUAGUCCUCAAACACAAGUUGGAUCUUUAUUGUAUAAGAAAGGUCCAGAACUCCAGAUAAAUUGAACAUGGAAUAGUACUACUGGAGAAAUAUCCUGAAAAAAGCAUUUUACGGUUGCUGGAAAUUUGUUAUGAUGGACUGGACGAGUAAGAGAAGUCAUAGUUUGGAAAUUUUGUUCAGGAAACAAAAUCGACUGUGGAUUGCUGAUAUUGGUGAUCUUACAUCAAAACUCUGAGUUUGAGGAAUCAAACUUUUGAGCGUUGGGAAAGACUCUGUAACUGGAGACAAGUGCAAUCUUCAAGGGAACUUACAUGAAAUCUUGAACAGGAUUUAGUAUCAUGACAAGCGCACAGACGUUGCACGUCGGUUGAGUUAAUCUUAAGUCUCCUUCGUCGCUUUGCCUUGUGCUAUGCUAUGUAUGUUGGUAACUCUAAUAAAUCUGACCAGAAGGAAAGAAGCAAAGAAAAAGAGGGUUUGCUGAGAGAACUCUCCAGCCCCUCUGAAAGUAAA